AGCAGCCGCGGUAAUUCCAGCUCCAAUAGCGUAUAUUAAAGUUGUUGCAGUUAAAAGCUCGUAGUUGAAUUUCGGGAUCAAAUUGUUGGUCGUGCUUCGGUACGCACUGGCAUUAUUGGUUCCUACCUUCUGAAGAACCGCGAUGUCAUUAAUUUGGUGUCGUGGGGAAUCAGGACUGUUACUUUGAAAAAUUAGAGUGUUUAAAGCAGGCUUACGCUUGAAUACAUUAGCAUGGAAUAAUGAAAUAGGACGUUUGAUUCUAUUUUGUUGGUUUCUAGGAUCGACGUAAUGAUUAAUAGGGAUAGUUGGGGGCAUUAGUAUUCAAUUGUCAGAGGUGAAAUUCUUGGAUUUAUUGAAGACUAACUACUGCGAAAGCAUUUGCCAAGGAUGUUUUCAUUAAUCAAGAACGAAAGUUAGGGGAUCGAAGACGAUCAGAUACCGUCGUAGUCUUAACCAUAAACUAUGCCGACUAGGGAUCGGAUGAUGUUAAUUUUUUAAUGUACUCAUUCGGCGCCUUACG
rnacentral:rRNA from 1 species